ensembl:lincRNA Gm43179 predicted gene 43179
GCCUCUCUCCUCAGCCUGUAGAGGGUUACCUUCUAGUGUCCUUACAUGGCCUGAAUGUGUGCCUGGGAGAGACUGACAGAUAUUUUGACUCUCUCUCUUCUUGUAAUUGUUUAUAUAAGCAGUAGGAGCAUUAGCGGGGGUAAGGAUGGGAAGCAUAGUUGGAUCCCCUGGGAGUUCAAAGCCACCCCUUUCUAGGACAUCGAUCUUCGGAGCGAGUCAGGCCUUAUAAACACAGACAACCCAGACCCACUCCUCAGAGCCCAUCCUUUGUUGCU